rnacentral:miRNA from 1 species
UGUCCAGUAGCACCUUAAAGACCAACUAAGUUUGUUCUGAGUAUAAGCUUUUGUGUGCAUGCACACUUCUUCACGAAAGCUUAUACCCAGAACUAACUUAGUUGGUCCCUAAGGUGCUACUGGACA